rnacentral:rRNA from 1 species
GACUACUGGGGUAUCUAAUCCUGUUUGCUCCCCACGCUUUCGUGCAUGAGCGUCAGUGUUGACCCAGGGGGCUGCCUUCGCCAUCGAUGUUCUUCCAUAUCUCUACGCAUUUCACUGCUACACAUGGAAUUCCACCCCCCUCUGCCACACUCUAGCUCUGUAGUUUCAAACGCAGUUCCCAGGUUAAGCCCGGGGAUUUCACAUCUGACUUACAGAACCGCCUGCGCACCCUUUACGCCCAGUAAUUCCGAUUAACGCUCGCACCCUACGUAUUACCGCGGCUGCUGGCACGUAGUUAGCCGGUGCUUCUUCUGUUGAUACCGUCAUGAAUUGCAAUUAUUAGUCACAAUCUUUUCUUCUCAACUGAAAGAGCUUUACAACCCGAAGGCCUUCUUCACUCACGCGGCAUUGCUGGAUCAGGCUUGCGCCCAUUGUCCAAAAUUCCCCACUGCAGCCGCCCGUAGG